rnacentral:rRNA from 1 species
AUUGAACGCUGGCGGCAUGCCUUACACAUGCAAGUCGAACGGCAGCACGGGUGCUUGCACCUGGUGGCGAGUGGCGAACGGGUGAGUAAUACAUCGGAACGUACCUUAUCGUGGGGGAUAACGCAGCGAAAGCUGUGCUAAUACCGCAUACGCCCUGAGGGGGAAAGCGGGAGAUCGCAAGACCUCGCGCGAUUAGAGCGGCCGAUACCUGCUUAGCUUGUUGGUGGGGUAAAAGCCCACCAAGGCGACGAUCAGGAGCUGGUCUGAGAGGACGAUCAACCACACUGGGACUGAGAUACGGCCCAGACUCCUACGGGAGGCAGCAGUGGGGAAUUUUGGACAAUGGGGGCAACCCUGAUCCAGCAAUGCCGCGUGAGUGAAGAAGGCCUUCGGGUUGUAAAGCUCUUUUGUCAGGGAAGAAACACCGGCUCUAACACAGUCUGGGAAUGACGGUACCUGAAGAAUAAGCACCGGCUAACUACGUGCCAGCCGCCGCCGUAA